AAGAUAUUAGUAAAAUAAAUUACAUCACUUUGUCAAGGUGAAACUGCAAGUUAAACUCUUGUGUAUCUUU
rnacentral:tRNA from 1 species